CAACUUUUUUGAUUCUUCUACAAAAUCUUUUGAGUCUUUCAGAAGAUUUUGUUCCACAAUUGUGAAAGCAGCGCUCAGCAAAGAAAAUAUAGCAUUAAAACCUAUCUGUGUGUUUCAAUGGACAAAGUACAAUUCUACACCUAUAUUUCCUCUGUUUCACGUCACAGGCAGCCUGUGCUCCCUCCUUUUCCCGUUUCAUGUUUAGUCUUGAUCUCCCUUUUUCAUUCUUCACUUCUUCACUUCUUUCUCUCUUCCCAUUUUCUUGAAACAUCAAUCAAUAAAUGAAUACUAUGAUUCAUCAAGACAAAAUGUCACUCCAUACUAAACGGGUCGACCCUAUAAAAUCCCAGCCAAAAAGAAGAGAGCUUCCACUCCAUACUAAAAUCAAGAGUGAACUAACUCUGAUAGUUUAGCCAAUCCAACCUUAAAGGUCUAAAUUUUGGAAAAAGAUUAAAAACAAAAUGGAUCGAGGCUAUUUCGAAGUUGUGAUGAAGGAACCCUUCUUUCGGAAAAUGUUGAGUAUACCUUUUGCAUUUGGCCAUCGAUACAUGAAGAAGGGGCAAAAGUUUGAGAAAGAGGCUACUCUUCAGACUGAUAUAUCGUGCCAGCUGGCCGGUUGUAAUCCGCGGUUAUGAUAGACUUAAAUUUCGAAAUGGGUGGGGUGGAUUUGUACGUGUCAAUGAGCUGCGUGUAGGAGAUGUUUGCCGUUUUGAGCUGAUUGAUGAGGAGGAAUUCAUAUUUAAAGUUUGCAUUAACCCAAGUCUCAAUGAAGUAUAGUCGAUUGAAAUAGAGACAAUUCCCUUUGAUUAGUUAGCUUAAUAUCUGGUUCAAAUGUUUCUACUUGAGAGGGAAGAUGGAAUGUGAACUAGACAUUGUAUAUUCAUUAUCGGAUUGAAGGUUGAUGUAUCAAAAGUUUAAAUUAAUGAAUUUACAUCAUUUUGUGAAGUGUAAAUGCUUU